UACAGAGGAUGCAAGCGUUAUCCGGAAUGAUUGGGCGUAAAGCGUCUGUAGGUGGCUUUUUAAGUCCGCCGUCAAAUCCCAGGGCUCAACUCUGGACAGGCGGUGGAAACUACCAAGCUGGAGUACGGUAGGGGCAGAGGGAAUUUCCGGUGGAGCGGUGAAAUGCGUAGAGAUCGGAAGGAACGCCGGUGGCGAAAGCGACGUGCUGGACCCUUUCUGACGCUGAGGCGCGAAAGCCAGGGGAGCAAACGGG
rnacentral:rRNA from 1 species